UCCUACGGGAGGCAGCAGURGGGAAUMUUCSGCAAUGGACGMAAGYCUGACSSAGCMACGCCGCGUGAGUGAAGAAGGYUUUCGGAUCGUAAAACUCUGUUGUUAGAGAAGAACAAGGAYGAGAGUAACUGUUCRUCCCUUGACGGUAUCUAMCCAGAAAGCCACGGCUAACUACGUGCCAGCAGCCGCGGUAAUACGUAGGUGGCAAGCGUUGUYCGGAUUUAUUGGGCGUAAAGCGMGCGCAGGCGGUUUCUUAAGUCUGAUGUGAAAKCCCCCGGCUCAACCGGGGAGGGUCAUUGGAAACUGGGARACUUGAGUGCAGAAGAGGAGAGUGGAAUUCCAUGUGUAGCGGUGAAAUGCGUAGAKAUAUGGAGGAAC
rnacentral:rRNA from 1 species